CGUGCCUAAUACAUGCAAGUCGAACGGUCUUUCUAUGGAAGCUUGCUUCCGCUGAGAAGAUAGUGGCGAACGGGUGAGUAACACGUGGGGUAACCUGCCCAUAAGAGGGGGGAUAACAUCCGGAAACGGGUGCUAAUACCGCAUAGUUUUCUUGAUCGCAUGAUCGGGAAAGAAAAGACGGCCUUUGUGCUGUCGCUUAUGGAUGGACCCGCGGCGUAUUAGUUAGUUGGUGAGGUAACGGCUCACCAAGACGAUGAUACGUAGCCGACCUGAGAGGGUGAUCGGCCACAUUGGGACUGAGACACGGCCCAAACUCCUACGGGAGGCAGCAGUAGGGAAUCUUCCGCAAUGGACGAAAGUCUGACGGAGCAACGCCGCGUGAGUGAAGAAAAGGUUUUCGGAUCGUAAAACUCUGUUGUCAGAGAAGAACAAGUUGGAGAGUAACUGCUCCAGCCUUGACGGUAUCUGACCAGAAAGCCACGGCUAACUACGUGCCAGCAGCCGC
rnacentral:rRNA from 1 species